AUGCAACCCAUUAAGCCAACCAGGUUCCUUUACUCUUUGGGACCUUGUUUGCAGUGGCCGUCAACAGCAUCUUCCUUGGUAGCAAGGAAGUCUAUUUCUGUAUGGAUUGCCCUAAGGGACCUUGGAGACAAUG